rnacentral:rRNA from 1 species
AUUGAACGCUGGCGGCAGGCCUAACACAUGCAAGUCGAGCGAGCGGCGGACGGGUGAGUAAUGUAUGGGGAUCUGCCCGAUAGAGGGGGAUAACUACUGGAAACGGUGGCUACUACCGCAUACUAUCGGAUGUAGUCAUGUGGGAUUAGCUAGUAGGUGGGGUAAAGGCUCACCUAGGCGACGAUCUAUAGCUGGUCGGAGAGGCUGAUCGGCCACAAUGGGACUGAGACACGGCCCAGACUCCUACGGGAGGCAGCAGUGGGGAAUAUUGCACAAGGGGCGCAAGGCUGAUCCAGCCAUGCCGCGUGAAUGAAGAAGGCCUUAGGGUGUUAAAAUACUUUUAGCGGGGAGGCAGUACCCGCAGAGGAAGCACCGGCUAACUCCGUGCCAGCAGCCGCGGUAAUUC